GUCGUUAAAAAAUAAAUAUAAGGACGGCCAUCUUUGUUGAUCUGUCUCUGUGUAAAAAUAAUCCGAACGCCCUCCAACUUUGCCGAUUUGUAUAUUGAACGUAAUAUUUCUUAAUUCAAGAACCGCUUCUUUUUUUUUUAACUGUUUUCCUUUUCGAGGGAGAAACAGCGGGCGCUUGUGAGAUGUCCUCCCCGCUCCGGGACUCUGAUGAAGGCGAGGAGACGGCGGUUCAAUCCGAGGCAGCAGAUGUAGAGGAUGAAGAAGAAGAAGAAGGAGAAGAAGACGAAAGAGAGAGAACGAGAGAGGAAAACAGAAGCGACAUUUACCCGUCGGCGGCGGCAGCAGAAACUGCAGCAGCAGCAGGUGAAGAUGACCGGCCGGUGGAAAACUCGGAAGGCGAGGCUGGAAAAAAGAAAAAACGAGGACCCAAGAAAAAGAAAGAAAAAAAAGAGAACAAACCAGUGAAGAUAAGGAAGCGGAAGAAACCAGAGGCAAGCGAGCAGGAAUCGGGGUCCGAGAGGGAGGGAGGAGAGAAAUCCGACAGCGGAGCCAGCGACAAGAAGAGGAGGAAGAAACACAAGGAGAAGAAAGAGAAGAAAACCAAGAAGAAGAAGAAAAAGGAGGACGAAGAAAACGAGGACAGCGCGGGCACUAAGGUUGAACAGAAGUCUUCAGGACAGCUGUUGAGAGACUGGGGCCUGGAGGACGUGGAGCAUGUGUUCACUGACGAAGACUAUCACACCCUGACCAACUACAAAGCCUUCAGCCAGUUCACCAGGCCCCUGAUUGCCAAGAAGAACCCCAAGAUCCCCAUGUCGAAGAUGAUGACCAUCCUGGGCGCGAAGUGGCGAGAGUUCAGCACCAACAACCCGUUCAAGGGCUGCCCGGCCGCCGUGGCCGCUGCCGCUGCUGCAGCCGCCGCCUCCGUCGCCGAGCAGGUCUCCGCGGCAACCGCGUCGCCCGAGCAACCGCCCCCCCCGCGCAAGGCCAAGACCAAAGAAGGCAAAGGCCCCGGACACAAGAAGCGCAGUCACAGCCCCCGUGUCAGCGAGAAGAAGAAAGUCAAGGGGAAGAAGAUGAAGAUGAAGAUGAAGAUGAAGAUGGCUCCUUUGAGAAUCAAGCUGGGCAUGCUGGGGGGCAAGCGCAAGAGAAGCAGCUCUAGCGACGAGGCGGAUUUGGAAGAGUCAGACUUGGAUAACUCGAGCGCUCACAGCUCCUCCGUGAAAUCGGACGCUUCGGGACGAGCCAAGAAAGGAAAGCGAGGCAGGCCGGCCCGGAAGAAGAAGAAAAUGGUGGUGGUGGAGGGGGAGGCGGAGGCUGACGGCUACGAGACUGACCACCAGGACUACUGCGAGGUGUGCCAGCAGGGCGGAGAGAUCAUCCUGUGCGACACCUGUCCUCGAGCCUACCACCUGGUGUGCCUGGACCCCGAGCUGGAGAAGGCUCCUGAGGGGAAGUGGAGCUGCCCGCACUGCGAGAAGGAGGGAAUCCAGUGGGAGGCGAAGGAUUAUGACGACGAAGACUACGAGGAGGAGUGUGAGGAGGAGGAGGAGGAGGAAGGCGAGGAGGAGGACGAGGAGGAAGAGGACGACCACUUGGAGUACUGCGGGGUGUGCAAAGACGGUGGGGAGCUGCUCUGCUGUGACUCCUGCCCCUCCUCCUACCACCUCCACUGCCUCAACCCGCCCCUGCCGGAGAUACCCAAUGGGGAGUGGCUCUGCCCGCGCUGCACCUGCCCCCCAAUCAAGGGGCGAGUCCAGAAGAUCCUGCACUGGAAAUGGGUCGACCCCCCUCCCCCCGUCCCUGUGCCCCUCCCCCCCGACGCCAGCCCGGACUGCCCCCCGCCCACCCCCUUGGUGGGGCGCUCGGAGAGAGAGUUCUUUGUGAAGUUUGCGGGGCAGUCUUACUGGCACUGCUCCUGGGUGACUGAACUGCAGCUGGAGAUCUACCACUCGGUCAUGUUCCGCAACUUCCAGCGCAAGAACGACAUGGACGAGCCGCCCUCCCUGGACUGCUGCUCGGGGGACGACGAGGGGAGGAGUGAGAAGCUCCGGAGCAGGGACAUGGAGGAGCGCUACUACCGCUACGGGAUCAAACCAGAGUGGAUGACCAUUCACAGGAUCAUCAAUCACAGCGUGGAUAAGAAGGGAGGUCUCCACUACCUGCUGAAGUGGAGGGACCUCACCUAUGAUCAGUGCACCUGGGAGGAAGAGGACAUGACCAUCCCCGAAUUCGAGAGCCACCAGUCAGCCUACUGGAGACACCGAGAGCUCAUAAUAAAGGAAGACCCGGCAAAACCAAAGAAACUGAAGAAAUUCAAGAAAGAGGAAAUGGACGACACCCCCCCCAGCUCUCCUAUCAACGACCCCGCGGUGCAGUACGAGACCCAGCCCCAGUUCGUGACAGUGACGGGGGGCACACUGCACCCCUACCAGCUGGAGGGGCUGAACUGGCUGCGCUUUUCCUGGACCCAGGGCACCGACACCAUCCUGGCAGACGAGAUGGGGCUGGGCAAGACCAUCCAGACCAUCGUCUUCCUGCACUCGCUCUACAGGGAGGGUCACACGAAGGGCCCGUUCCUAGUCAGCGCUCCGCUGUCCACCAUCAUCAACUGGGAGCGUGAGUUCGAGAUGUGGGCCCCGAACCUCUACGUUGUGACCUACACCGGAGAUAAGCACAGCCGCGCCAUCAUCCGCGAGAACGAGUUCUCCUUCGAGGGAAACGCCAUGAAGGGGGGCAGGAAGGCCUUCAAGAUGAGGAGGGAGGCGCAGAUCAAGUUCCACGUGCUCCUCACCUCUUAUGAGCUGGUCACGAUUGACCAGGCUGCUCUGGGCUCCAUUAACUGGGCCUGCUUGGUGGUGGAUGAAGCACACAGGCUGAAAAACAACCAGUCCAAGUUUUUCAGGAUCCUGAACGGAUACAAGAUCGAUCACAAGCUUCUGCUCACCGGCACCCCACUGCAGAACAACCUGGAGGAACUGUUCCAUCUGCUGAACUUCCUGACCCCAGAGAGAUUCAAUAACCUGGACGGAUUCCUGGAGGAGUUCGCCGACAUCUCGAAGGAGGACCGGAUCAAGAAGCUGCACGACCUGCUGGGGCCCCACAUGCUGAGGAGGCUGAAGGCAGACGUCUUCAAGAACAUGCCAACCAAGACAGAGCUGAUCGUGCGGGUGGAGCUGAGCCCCAUGCAGAAAAAAUACUACAAGUUCAUACUGACCAGGAACUUCGAGGCUCUCAACUCUAAAGGGGGAGGGAACCAGGUGUCCCUGCUGAAUGUGAUGAUGGACCUGAAGAAGUGCUGCAACCAUCCCUACCUCUUCCCUGCGGCUGCCAUGGAGUCCCUGAAGCUGCCCAGCGGGGCGUACGAGGGCAACGCGCUGGUCAAGGCGUCGGGGAAGCUGACCCUGCUGCAGAAGAUGAUGAAGAAGCUCAAAGAGCAAGGCCACAGAGUGCUCAUCUUCUCACAGAUGACUAGAAUGCUGGAUCUUCUGGAGGAUUUCCUGGACUUCGACGGGUACAAGUAUGAGAGGAUCGACGGGGGGGUGACAGGGGCUCUGCGACAGGACGCCAUCGACCGCUUCAACGCGCCCGGGGCUCCCCAGUUCUGCUUCCUGCUGUCGACCAGGGCGGGCGGAUUAGGGAUCAACCUAGCGACAGCUGACACAGUCAUCAUUUUCGACUCGGAUUGGAACCCACACAACGACAUCCAGGCGUUCAGCCGGGCACACCGCAUCGGCCAGGCCAAAAAGGUGAUGAUAUACCGCUUCGUGACGCGCGGCUCGGUGGAGGAGCGCAUCACGCAGGUGGCCAAGCACAAGAUGAUGCUGACCCACCUGGUGGUGCGGCCCGGCCUGGGCUCCAAGACCGGCACCAUGUCCAAGCAGGAGCUCGACGACAUCCUCAAGUUCGGCACGGAGGAGCUGUUCAAACACGAGAACGAGGGUGAGGAGGAGGACAGCAGUGUGAUCCACUACGAUAACGCCGCUGUAGAGAGGCUCCUGGACAGGAGCCAGGACGCCACGGACGACACAGACAUGCAGAACAUGAACGAGUACCUGAGCUCCUUCAAGGUGGCACAGUACGUGGUGAGAGAGGAGGACAAGAUGGAGGAGAUUGAGCGCGAGAUCAUCAAGCAAGAGGAGAACGUGGACCCCGACUACUGGGAGAAGCUGCUGAGGCAUCACUACGAGCAGCAGCAAGAAGACCUGGCCAGGAACCUGGGCAAGGGCAAGAGAGUGCGCAAGCAGGUCAACUACAACGAUGCAGCACAGGAGGACCAAGAGUGGCAUCAUGAUGUUUCAGAUAACCAGUCGGAGUACUCCGUGGGGUCUGAAGAGGAGGAUGAAGAUUUCGAUGAGCGGCCUGAAGGUCGCAGGCAGUCUCGACGACAACUAAGAAACGACAAAGACAAGCCCUUACCCCCCCUGCUGGCCAGAGUCGGGGGCAACAUCGAGGUGCUGGGGUUCAACACUCGGCAGCGCAAGGCUUUCCUGAACGCAGUGAUGCGCUGGGGGAUGCCCUCCCAGGACGCCUUCUCCUGCCACUGGCUGGUCCGAGACCUGCGGGUGAAGACCGAGAAGGAGUUCAAGGCGUACGUGUCUCUCUUCAUGAGGCACCUCUGUGAGCCGGUAGCAGAUGGAUCAGAGACCUUCGCAGACGGGGUCCCCAGAGAGGGGCUGUGCAGGCAGCCAGUGCUCACCCGCAUCGGGGUCCUGAGCCUGCUCAAGAAGAAGGUCCAGGAGUUCGAGCACAUCAACGGGAAGUGGAGCCUGCCGGAGCUGAAGCCAGAGAGCAGCGGCGACUCAAAGAAAUCCUCCCGGGCCUCGUCCCCCGCCAUCCGGACGGUCGCCACGACCCCGGAGCCCAGCGGAAACAGCACCCCCUGCACCUCCCAGCCAGCUACCCCCGCCCCCGUUGACAGAGGAGAGAAGAGCGUGAAGGAUGGAGAGCAGGAGGAAACGGAGGGCAAAGAGGAGAAAACAGAGAAGGAAUCAAAGAGUGCGGAGAGCGGCCGCACCUCAGAGCAGCAGCCUGUACUGGUUCCUGAGGGCAGCUCCCAGGCAGUCACCCCCAGUGAGACACCUGAAAGUCAGGCAGCGGAGUCGGGAGAGGAGGGCAAAGACCCACCACAGAGUGAGGAUAAGAAACUAGAGGAACCGGGAGACCAGGACACAGCAACAGCGCCACCUACAGCCCCAGAGGAGACUCAAGAUUCUGUGAAGAAAGAAGAUAUAAAGAUGGAAUUGAAGCAGGCUGAGAUCCAGGAUACCAAGGGCCCCACAGAGACCCCCGCCACAGAGGUUAAGAAAGAGGAAGUUAAGAUUGAGAAGGAGGCUGGAAGGGCGACCGCAGUGCCUGCUGGGAAGGAGGAGGCUGGCGGCCGGGGGAGCGGGAGGAGAGAGGAGAGGAGCGAGCGGCCGCGGUUCAUGUUCAACAUCGCAGACGGAGGGUUCACAGAGCUGCACACGAUAUGGCAGAAUGAAGAGCGUGCCGCCAUCUCCUCUGGCAAAAUCAAUGAAAUUUGGCACCGUCGCCAUGACUACUGGCUGCUAGCGGGCAUCGUGGUUCACGGCUACGCUCGCUGGCAGGACCUCCAGAGUGACAGCCGGUUCAGCAUCAUUAACGAGCCGUUCAGGAGUGAGAGCAGCAAGGGCAACUUCCUGGAGAUGAAGAACAAGUUCCUAGCUCGCAGGUUCAAGCUGCUGGAGCAGGCCCUGGUGAUUGAGGAGCAGCUCCGACGCGCUGCCUACCUCAACAUGAGGCAGGAGUCCAGCCACCCCGCCAUGGCUCUGAGCGCCCGCUUCACAGAGGCGGAGUGCCUGGCUGAGAGCCACCAGCACCUGUCCAAGGAGUCCCUGGCAGGGAACAAGCCCGCCAACGCAGUCCUGCACAGGGCCCAUCCCCCCCGGACCAUAUGCCACGCCCCCCAACUUUGGGCCAGCCUUUAGCCCCGCCCCUUCGGGGACUGUGACGACGGGAGGAGCCAAUUACAGCCAGAUGGCGCCAGGGUCCUUCAUAUCAGUGUUGAACGGGCCUCCGGUGACAGUCAAAAAAGAGAGGGAUGGGGAGAGUAAUGAACGAAAGGAGGGGAGGAGCAGUGGAGAGGUGAUCUGCAUUGACGACUGACCCCGCCCCCCAGCACAUCAGUCAUGGAUAUUCCCAGAAUGCACAUGUACCCCUUUAAUAGCACGCCAGAGAUUGCAACUCAUUUAUCGACACGAUUCUGACAGCAUUGUGUUUUGAGGACAGACACAGCUGAUAAAAGCCAUUUUUUAGAGGUUUUUUUUUUUAGUGCUGCCAUGGCCGCUGAUAGCAGGUAAGGCUUAGUCAUGCUGUACUAUAACAAGCCCGGGUUCAACCCAGCCAAGCUUCUGACACCCUGUCAAGAACCUCUUACUGGUCCGAUUCUCGUGCUCACUGUGAUUUGUUGUUUUAUUGUAAGUUUCAUAACCUUUCGGUUUUGUGAUCCACUUUUAUAUAUUUUAAGUGUUUUUAAUUGUUUUAUUUUGUUGAAGCUUCAACCAAAAAAAAAAAUAGUAAGAUGAAUGUGCAAUUCCAGCACUAUAGUGUUCAAAAUACAGUCUGAAAUACUAAAAGAAACGGAAUGAAUUCAGUGACUAACGUUUCCACUAGAAGUCUUUCUCAGCGCCUUCAGUGUGAAUUCAAUGACUAACGUUUCCACUAGAAGUCUCUCUCAGGGUCUUCAGUGUAAAUUCAAUGGCUAACGUUUCCACUAGAAGUCUUUCUCAGUGUCUUCAGUGUGAAUUCAAUGACUAACGUUUCCACUAGAAGUCUUUCUCAGUGUCUUCAGUGUAAAUUCAAUGGCUAACGUUUCCACUAGAAGUCUUUCUCAGCAUCUUCAGUGUAAAUUCAAUGGCUAACGUUUCCACUAGAAGUCUCUCUCAGCGUCUUCAGUGUGAAUUUAUACCACUUUGGAAACAAAUGAAGACAUUGAAAAAAGUGGGAACGUCUGUUGCUGAAUUUACACUGAAGACCCUGAGAGACUUCUAGUGGAAACGUUAGCCAUUGAAUUUACACUGAAGACACUGAGAGAGACUUCUAGUGGAAACGUUAGUCAUUGAAUUUACACUGAAGACACUGAGAGAGACUUCUAGUGGAAACGUUAGUCAUUGAAUUCACACUGAAGACCCUGAGAAAGACUUCUAGUGGAAACGUUAGUCAUUGAAUUCACACUGAAGACGCUGAGAAAGACUUCUAGCGCAAAUGUCAGUCAUUGAAUUUAUUCCAUAUUUGUAAAUUCAGCAUUAUUGAGUAUUUUUUUGCCCUGGCAGCAUUGUCCCUGAUAUCUAGGCUGUUUUUUUCUGUUUUUCUCUUGAUGCUUGUUUAGUUUACUAUAAUGCACUUUUGACUAAACACAGCCAUGUGGAUUUAAGGUCAUUUCCUGUGUCAUUGGUUUGCUUGGCUGUCAUCCCUUUAAAGAGAAAACAGCUUAAAAUAAAAUCUUCUGGUUUUUUGUUUUUUUUUUAACUGCAUUUUUUAUGUUGUUGGCUGUCAUUCUGAGUGGUUGUUACUGUGAUUAUUCAAUUAUUAUAUAUAUGUUUUUGUUUUUAUAAGUCCAUGGUAAGGUGUGUUCACUGACGCUUGGAGCAGCUCUUGUUCAAUUCUAGUUCCUCUGCCAUAGAUACAUGCAACACAGGCAAGACCAGCCAGUGUCUAAUAGAAGUAUCGAGUGAUCUCCCAUUUUGUAAACAAUUUCCCAUUGUUUUUGCUGGCAGUACACUAGCUGUACACUAGGUGGUGCUGGUGCUUACUAUUUCUUUGUAUCAGAAAAUCAACAGCUAUAUUUUAUUUCAGCUAACUAAAAUUAAAUACCGCGCAAGAAAAUACAUUUCUCUUCAGCUAAAUAUCAUUCAGUAACGUACCUUUGUUAGUCUGCAACUUGAAAGCUCACAGUAUCCCAAAAAAUCGGAUCAGUUCACUGCAGUAUAGUAAUACAUAGCUGUGGCCAAAAGUGUAGCGUCACCUAGAAUUAUAGGAUUGAGAUAUAUAUAUUUAAACAUAAUUUUGAUCUUUAACAUCAUGUUGUAAUCCAUUUUUGUCAGUUUUUGUUUUCUUUUAGUGUAUGGAAAACCACAAAGCAGUGUGUGAUUCAAUAUUUUAACAAGGUAACAUUAUUCAGCAGGUUUCAUUCGACUUUAUGAAGCAGAAUCAGUAUAUAUAGGGUGAUGCAAAACUUUUGGCCAUAGCUGUAGAUACACUUUUGAUGUAUUUUUUUUAAUUUUUUUUAAAUAAUUUUCUUUUAGACACAGCAUUUGGCUGAAGGAAACGCAAGCAAGCCAGCACAGCUUAAAAGAACUAAAAGUGAUUACCUGCAACGAUUUCAUAUCGCUAGCAAACAGCCGUGGUUAACCGAUCAAUCCACGGAGCGGGUCGGGUGAUCAGUCGAUCAACAGAAAGCAGCGAGGUUCAAAAACGUCGUUUGCAACAAGAACGGUUGCGAACUUCGUGGGGAAAAAAAAAAAGUCAGAACCAAAAGAGAGUUUGAAAUGUAAUUCUGAGGCUCUUGUUGGUGUUAUUUAUUUAUUUUUUUUGUACUGCGUUUUGAUUGUGUUCAGUCUUUGGCGUGUGUACCUGCGUUGGUCCUUCUCGUGGGUGUGAGACGUGGAAUGAAGAUCGUCUCCCUCUCUGUUAAAGUUCGUUCAGGCGAGCGACUCCUACAUGCUGUGUGUUCAACAGCGCUACUGCUGCCCACCAACCUGUUCAUAAUAAAGACAUCUCGUCACCCUC